rnacentral:rRNA from 1 species
GCAUGUGGUUUAAUUCGAUGAUACGCGAGGAACCUUACCUGGGCUCAAAUGUAUGUGACGUAUUCUGAAAGGGAUACUUCUUCGGACAAUAUACAAGGUGCUGCAUGGUUGUCGUCAGCUCGUGCCGUGAGAUGUUGGGUUAAGUCCCGCAACGAGCGCAACCCUUGCCUUUAGUUGCCAGCAGUUCGGCUGGGCACUCUAAAGGGACUGCCGGUGUUAAACCGGAGGAAGGUGGGGAUGACGUCAAGUCCUCAUGGCCUUUAUGACCAGGGCUACACACGUACUACAAUGGCCGAUACAAAGGGCAGCGACACUGCGAGGUGAAGCCAAUCCCGUAAAAUCGGUCUCAGUCCGGAUUGGAGUCUGCAACUCGACUCCAUGAAGUUGGAAUCGCUAGUAAUCGUGGAUCAGCAUGCCACGGUGAAUACGUUCCCGGGCCUU